GCCCCUUUAACUGCUGUGCUGAGAUUUUGCUCAGAUUGUGUUAGACAUGCUUUAGAGCUCAGAGCUGACGGUUGUUCCCGCUAAUAGCCUGGAAAUCUUGUCAAAUUCGAUGAAAAAUCUUGGAGAUCGAAAGCUUCCCUUGUGAACGGCUGAAGCCCGGAAAAAUCCCCGUGUAGUCGUGUAGCAUCGAAGCAUCGGAUCUGGAGUCAUCUGCUGCCUGCUACUAACACCAUUCCAACACUAGGUGCCGCCAGCAGGAGAGUGCCUGAGGCGACAGGUGUUGAUCGAUUCAUCAGCUGGGAGGCAUAAAGAGGAUGGAUUGCC